UACGGAGGGUGCGAGCGUUGUUCGGAAUCACUGGGCGUAAAGGGCGCGUAGGUGGCGCGGCAAGUCAACGGUGAAAGCUCGACGCUCAACGUCGAGUCGGCCGUCGAUACUGCUGGGCUUGAGCACUGUAGAGGCAGAUGGAAUUCCGGGUGUAGCGGUGGAAUGCGUAGAGAUCCGGAAGAACACCGGUGGCGAAGGCGGUCUGCUGGGCAGUAGCUGACACUGAGGCGCGACAGCGUGGGGAGCAAACAGG
rnacentral:rRNA from 1 species